CCCAUACUAGGUUCAUCCUGCCCAGUGAUAUUAUUCAACGGCCGCGGUAUCCUGACCGUGCAAAGGUAGCAUAAUCAUUUGCCCCUUAAUUAGGGGCUAGAAUGAACGGAUAAACGAAAAUUUCCCUGUCUCUAUUAAAACCCUAUAACUUAACCUUUAGGUGAAGAGGCCUAAAUUAAUAUAUAAGACAAGAAGACCCUGUCGAGCUUUAUCUCUCCCCCUGCUAAAAUAAAAAAUAUACACAAGAUCAAGAUUUUGUUGGGGCGACAAAGGAAUAAACCAAAACUCCUAAAAAUUUAAGAUAUCAAAUCUAUCAAACGACCCAUAUUUUAUGAUCAUAGAAACUAGCUACCGCAGGGAUAACAGUCUAAUUUUCCCUGAGAGCCCAAAUCUAAUGGAAAGAUUAGCACCUCGAUGUUGGCUUAGGGAUUCUUCUAAGUGCAGCCACUAAAAAGAAG
rnacentral:rRNA from 1 species